rnacentral:rRNA from 1 species
UACGUAGGGGCCGAGCGUUGUCCGGAGUUAUUGGGCGUAAAGCGCGCGCAGGCGGCUUGACGCGCCCGACGUGAAAGCCCCCGGCUUAACCGGGGAGGGUCGUCGGGUACGGUCAGGCUUGAGGGCGGGAGAGGGUGGUGGAAUUCCCGGUGUAGUGGUGAAAUGCGUAGAGAUCGGGAGGAACACCUGUGGCGAAGGCGACUGCCUGGACCAGCACUGACACUGAGGCACGAAAGCGUGGGGAGCAAACAGG